rnacentral:lncRNA from 1 species
AUAUUCUCCAUAGCCAAGCCAAAGACUCUCCAGGAUUAUAGUUGGCCUGAAAGAAUAUUUAGCUUCCUCACACACCCUUUAGGAUCUGUAUAUGAAUUUGUAACGAAGUCAAAGAAUUCCAAAAAAGUUGUUCUUCCCCCAUUUUAUAGUUGCCCAAAUGAGAUUCCAGAUAUCUGUUCUCAGCAGCCUCCUGCAUAUUGUUUAGUGACAAACCCCUUUAGCAUAAACAGGAGAUACUACUUGGAAAGUGCAAUUAACAGAAGAGGAAUGCCCCUAAAACUGUUGGACCCAAAGUCUUCAGAGCCGAACACAACGAACAGUUCGGGCUAUGUCAAGAAAAACUCACUGUUUGUUAUCACAGAUGAUCUAAUAGUUAAACCAUUAUCCUCGGUUUCUAGUAUUUCUUUACUAAACGAAAUAGGUGUCGCAGUCGAUGAUGUUGAAGAGCAAGUUAUUAGCAUAGGAGAGAUUGAAGUAAGUCAUUAUCCUUGCGAGUUUUGAUCAAUCUAAAUUUCCACUUUUCACUCACUUUAUAUUCAUAAUCUGUAAUGCAAUAUUGUUUUGCAGGCGGUUGGUUUAUUGAGGGCUUGUUUGUGUUCAUCUUCAGCUUUGUCAGAUUUAAUGAAGGUUUAUGUCUAGCAACCAAAGCAAGAGCAAUUAUAGCAAAAGCUACAUUAUAUUAUUAUUGCAGUAUCAAGGAUAUGGAGUUGUAGUCGCCUAAUAGUCAAGGUGUUUCAGUUUCCUAAUAGUCAAGGUGUUUCAGUUUACUUUCAUGUAAUAGUACUUUAUUGUCUCAGUUCAAAACUAAAAUAUUACUUUUAAGUAAUGUUUCAUUUUCUAUCUUGGUUUUUGCUUUAGUACAAAAGAGUUUGAAUGAAAUGGCUCAAGUUAGGGACCUUGGUUAUACUUUGAAAAUUGAAGGCUGUUAAGUAUGGGGAACACCAAUCAUUUUGCUGAAGCAGUAAUGGCCCUUUUAUGAACUCACUCAAUAAAUAGACUGGUAUUAGGUUCUUUUCUGCCAUGCUCCAAACUUCAUUCAUCUGAAUUUAUUCAUGAUUUGUUAUUUAUUCUAUCUCCAUGGCUUCUAAUUCACCCAUCAUUUCAAUCAAAUUAUUGUUAGACCAAGAAAGAAGCAGGGUAGUUCUUGCUGAAGCUGGUACUGAUUUUAUUGAUACUCUCCGUAGUAUCUUUACGUUUCCCCUCGGGAAUAUUGCUCGGCUUUUUCGUAAUAAUGAAAGUUUGCAGCCCGGUUGCUUGAAUAACUUAUACAACGGUGUAGAAAGUCUCAGCCUUAACAGCUUUCGGACAGAUGCUUGUAAGUCAAUGCUGCUUUAUCCAAGAAGCAUUCAUGAAGAUAAGUUCAAGAGCUUGAAGCUUAACAUGGGGUUCACAGUGCCUACCCAGUAUUUUGUUUGUGAAAAAAGGGUUUGUAGACGAAAUCCGGUAGGUUGGCUUAGUUAUUACAGAACUUCAAGGUGCAGUUGUUGGAAGUUGAUGAAUAAAGAAGCUAUUCUUCGAGUGAAAAAAGAAUGUGUGUUGAGCAUUGGCCUGCAAUGCAACAUGUGACCAGCAGCUCACCAAGCAGGCCAGAAAUGAAGCAGAACCGAGUGCAGCAGCUUGUUCAGUCCAUUUUGUUUUAUUUUGCUCAAAUGUAACUUGUUUAGUUAGCUUGAAAUUUGUAUUCAAAGUCAGUAGGAUUAGUUUUUGAUUUGUACUUGAUGUAAUGGCUAAUGUAUGAGCUUACUUAAGUUUGAAAUAUAACUUGUAUUAGUUGUGUAUUAGUGGGAGCAGUUACAUUGUUAAGUAACUGUCCAAUUUCAUGUAACCUUCACAUAUAUUUUGAUUUCAUUCAAUGAAAAUUGUUAUCCAGUUACAUUAUUCAAGUUUUCAAACUUUCUUCUUUCAUUUUUCGGUUCUUUUGCUUUUGUUCUUGUUUGAAUGUUAAGUUGCUACCAAUGUUCCAACAAAUGGUAACCAGAGCCUAAGUCUUUGAGGGCCUCUGUUUGUUGGUUGCUUUGUUGAGAAAAUAUAAGCUUGAGAAAGAAGAAAUUGAAGCUGUUGAGUUUGCUUCAGCAAGAUGAGCUUCACUCCACCUCCACCUCCACCUCCACCUCCAGUGUUUGCUGGUGAAAACUACCACGUUUGGGUAGUCAAGAUAAAGACAUAUCUUCAAGCUCAAGACUUGUGGAGUGUGGUUGGGAAUGACAUUGAACCAGCUCCAUUGAGAGCCAAUCCCACGAUUGCUUAAAUAAGGCAACAUGCUGAGGAGAACACAAAGAAGCACAAAGCCUUGGCUUGCUUGCAAAAUGGAGUUUCUAAUGUAAUCUUCACUCGAAUCAUGGCCUACAGCACACCUAAGGAAGCAUGGGAAAGGCCAAAGGAAGUGUAACACCCCCUAACCCCAAACCGUCGCCGGAAUGAGGUUAUGAGGCAUUACCGGACAUAUCAGACAACUUACGAAUAAUUUACAAUUAAUAUAACUUUCAUAGUAUAAUAUAAUAAUUAAGUCCCUAUCUUGGACUCUCGAAGUUCAAACACGUAUUAAAAGUAGAACGGGACUUGUUCGAGUAUUCCAAAUUUUUUUAUUUUUUAUAAAAAAAUUUCGACAGCAUUUCUGCUUAUUUUUACCUAAACCUCCUGCAAAUUCAAACCAAAAUCACCAAUACCAAUGUUUCACAUUCAUAUAACUAAUAUUUAUAUCAUUAACAUAAUUUUAACUUAAUAACUAUCAUAGCAUCAUUCAAAAUUGAUUAUAAACUUCAUUCAUUUAACAACUUAAUGUUCAUGUAUCAAAAUAUCAUGUACUUUCCUUACCAUUUCAUUUAACCAUCUAAAUCUUAUAAUUCAUCAUUCACUACUCAAAGUAAUAUACAUAUUCAAGUGACUAAACAACACCUAUGUACAUGCCACCUUUACCCAAAAGAAAAAUAUACAUCCCCAAGUUUGUGCUGGAGUCGGGAUUGUUCUGGAUGCUGAGCCGGGACACUUGACUUCUACUAACCUGCGCACGGAAACAACCGUACGCUGAGUAUGGAUAUACUCAGUGGUAUUACUAUAAAUCAAGACUAUUUAACAUUAAUAAAAUUUCAAACAUCAACCAUAAAUUUUAUAAUUAUUUAAACUACUUUUAUAUAUAAUUAUUUUACUUCAUAAAUCUUAAAUUCAUAAUUCAUUUUUCUCAUACUAACUCAAUUCAUAAUUUAAUUCAUGCAUUCUUUCUCGUACUUUUCAAUAGUGCUAAAACAAAUAAUCUCAUUUUCAAAAUUUCAUUUCAAUUAUUUACCUAUUAACAAAGCUCGGAUUAUGACAGAUACGCGGAUUUCCACCCAAACACACCAGAAUGUCCAACCCAAACACACCCAGAAUAUUUUAAAUCCUCCAUAACACACCAGUAAGGCAUUAAGUGCCUCUUCGGAUAAAUCGAAGUAUAUAAUAACAGAAACAUCUUCUCGGCCGAACUACAAUCUCCUCAUCACAUCACAAAUCCAAUGGCAUGCCAUUUGUAUCAAAUCUAGUUCGACAAGUUAAUAGGGUAUGAUUUUACCUUUUCUAAUUUCAAUUUAAUUUACACAAAAAUUUUCACUACUCAUUCAAUUCAAAUAUCUAUUAUCUUAAUUCAUAUACAAAUUAAUUUUCACACAAGUGUAUACCAUCAACACCAUACAAUAUUUGUCACCAUUUAUUUAUUUUUCAAUCAAUACACUUUUCAAAUAAUCACAUACUUACCUCAGGUCUUACUUACCAUACAUCACAAUUAAAAUUUCAGCAAUCAAUAAUAAUUAAAAUUUGAGUUAUAGUAAUACACACCGCAAUUCUCCCGUUUUAGUCCUCGAUGACUUUCUCCUUUCCUUUCGAUGCUGGCGUUUCAGGUUCUUUGUUGGCUACGAAAAUAAUAGUAAUUUAUAUUAUUAUUUACAGCAUUAAUUAUAAUAAAUAAUUAAAUUUCUAAACAAUUCCUAGCUUAUUCCCAAUUUAAUCCUAGCUAAACUUAAUUAUUUUCUUAAUCCAAUUCACUCUCUUUUUCUAUUCAAAUUUUGUCUAAACUUAUAUUUAACUAUAAAAUUUCCAGCAUAUUUCCCUAAUUUCGAAAUUUCUUCAAUUUAGUCCCUUCAACAUAAAACUUAUAGCCUAGUUUACAAUUUAAUCCCUUAAUCAAUUCUAACUUAUAAUUCAUUCAAUUAAAUCCCUAAUUCCAUAAUUUAUCCAACAUGAACCAUAUUUGGAAACAUAUAAACUCUUGAAUUAUCAACUUAAUUUCAUCAAAACUUGUUUUAAAGCUUCUAAAAUAUCAAAAUUAAGAGAAAAUGACUUAAUUAAGCUUACCAAUUAAACUUGAAGCUUUAAAAUCCCAAUUUCCCUUUUUAUUUUCUUUCCUUUUUUCUUCCCCUGUUUUCGUUUUGUUCCCUGCUUCGUUUCUAUUUCUUUUGUUUUGUUUCUUUGUUUCCUUAAUUCUUUUUAUGCUUUAUUAUUUUAUAAACAUAAUAUAAUAUUAAUAUCAUAUAUUAAAAUAUCUUUUACUUUAAUAUUAAGUAAAUUAAUAAUUAUAUAACAAGUGUACAUAUUUAUAUUAUUACAAAUGACAUUAUCUAAUUUGCUUAUCAAAUAAAAAUCUCAUGAUUUAAUUAAUACAAUUAAUAAUUAUAAAAUAUCUUUAUACUUAAAUUAUAAGUAAUUAAAUAUUUAAAUUACAAUUGUACUAAUACAAUUCUUACACAUGUAUAUUUUAUUACCAUACAAUUGUCUUCUAUUUAAUUUAUUUAAUAAUAAUGCUAAUAAUAAUAAUCUAAUAUAAAACCAUAAUGUUAAUUAAUAAUUAUAAUAAUUUAAUAUAAAACCAUAAUAAUAAUCAUUAUAAUAUAUAAAACCUAAAAAAAAUCUUUGAUUUUAUUUCACCAAUAUGCCGCCUCAUUUGUAGCCAAUGGCUUAAUUGCCAUUUUAAUCCUUUUUAUUUUCUAUUGCUUUAUAAUUAAACUUUUACCCUUUAUUCAAUUUAAUCCUUUUUAUUACUUACUCUAAAUUAAGCUAAAUUCACCUAAUUAGAUCCUAAUUAGACACACCACUAGGCUCAUAAAUAUUUUUAAUAAUUAUUUUCGAACUUAUUUCACUAAGACAGAGGCCCUAUAACUCACUUUUUCGGUGCCCGUGAAUUCCGGGUUAUUACAGGAAGAGUUCAUAGGGUCAGAUAAAACAAGGCAGCAACAAGUGAUUAACUUGAUAAGAGAUUUUGAGAACCUGAAAAUGAAAGAAUCAGAGAGCAUCUAGCAAUAUCCAGACAGGAUCAUGGCCACUGUCAACAGCAUAAGGUUGCUUGGUGAAGAUAUCAGUGAUAGCAGGGUUGUUGAAAAGGUUAUCACCAGACUCCCUGAGAGAUUUGAGUCCAAAGUCUCAUCACUUGAGGACUCAAGGGACUUGACAACCAUUUCUUUGUCUGAGUUGGUGAACUCCCUUUAUGCAUUGGAGCAAAGAAGGGCCAACAGGCAGGAAGAACAUCUUGAAGGAGCCUUCCAAGCAAAGGCCAAAGAUGGUCCAGGUUCAAGCCAGAAAGGAAAGAAGCCUUGGCUUGAUAAGAGGGAUAAGCCAAAGAAAGAUUCAGGCAAAAGAAGGUUUCCACCAUGUGUCCACUGCAAGAAAACCACACAUUUUGAAAAAUUUUGCUGGUUUAGACCAGACAUUCAAUGUAGGAGCUGCAAGCAGUUUGGUCAUGUUGAGAAAGUGUGCAAGAAUAAAGCAAAGGCACCAGCACAGCAGCAGAUCCAAGCUCAAGCUACUGAGGACCUUCAGGCUCAGGAGAAGCAUGUUUUCACAGCCACAAGCUUUGUUACCAUAAGCAAAGUCAAAUGCAAUUGGCUGGUGGAUAGUGGCUGCACACAUCACAUGGCAGCUGAUGAAAGUCUGUUCAAAGACCUUGACAGAAGCUAUGCCUCAAAAAUCAAAAUAGGCAAUGGGAGUCUGAUUGAAGCGAAAGGCAAGGGGAAUAUAGUGAUCAACACCGGUUCAGGUAACAAAGUCAUUUCAGAUGUACUUUUUGUACCUGACAUUGAUCAAAAUCUGUUAAGCGUUGAUCAGUUAGUUGAAAAAGGGUAUUCCCUAGUUUUCAAGAAUGGUUCAUGUAUUAUUGAGGACUUUCAUGGCUAGGAAAUGAUUACUGUAGGCAUGGUAGACAAAUGUUUCAUGCUUGAUGUGAAUCAGCUCGAGAAGAAAGCUUAUACAAGCUUAGCUAAUAAUGUUGGCCUAUGGCAUAGAAGACUAGGCCAUACUAAUUUCAGAUUACUUGAUCUGUUGCACAAGCUAAAUUUGAUAGAGGAUAUGUCCAAAGUUGAGGCAAGAGACACUGUUUGUGAAGUUUAUCAGCUUGGUAAACAAGCCAGAUUGCCAUUCCCAGUGAACCAGGCAUGGAGAGCUCAAGAAAGACUUGAACUGGUGCAUUCUGAUGUUUGUGGACCAAUGAAGUCCCCUUCAUUGAAUGACAGCAAAUAUUUUGUGCUGUUCAUUGAUGAUUUAACCAGAUUUUGCUGGGUCUACUUCAUGAAACAAAAGUCAGAAGUGUUUGAUGCUUUUAGCAGAUUCAAGGCACUAGUAGAGAACCAGUCAGGCUGCAAGAUCAAGGCCUUGAGAACUGAAAAUGGGACUGAAUACUUGUCUGAGAGGUUUCAAAAGUUUUGUGAGUAUGCAGGGAUCCAUCAUCAACUAACCACUGUUUACACUCCACAGCAAAAUGGAGUUUGUGAAAGGAAGAACAGAACAUUGAUGAAUAUGGCCAGAUGUUUGUUGUUUCAAAGCAAACUUCCAAGUAAAUUUUGGGCUGAGGCUGUCAACACCUCAGUUUACCUACCGAACAAGCUUCCAACUUGAGCAGUGAAGGACAAAACACCUUUUGAAGCCUGGUAUGGAUUAAAACCAUCAGUUUCCCAUCUGAAAGUGUUUGGAUGUGUGUGCUAUGUGCUUAUUCCAGAUGAAAGAAGAACCAAACUUGAGAAAAAGUCUGCUCCUGGUAUAUUUGUUGGCUACAGUAGUACCAAAAAGGGCUACAGAGUGUAUGACCCUUCAACAAAGAAGAUUUUGGUGAGCAGAGACAUCAAAUUUGAUGAGGAGAAGUUUUGGAGUUUGGAAGGUUCAGAUACAAGCCAGUUUGAUGAAGACCAAUUUGAUAUUAGCCUAGAGCCAACUGAGAAUGAAUCAGAAAAUACAGACAUGAUGAUCCUCCUGUGAGAGGAACCAGAUUCAUUGCUGACAUUUACCACAGAUGUAAUGUUGCUAUAGUUGAGCCUUCGAGCUAUGAAGAAGCUGCAAGGGACAAAUGCUGGAGAAAUGCUAUGGAAGCUGAGCUUGAGAUGAUCAAGAAGAAUGAGACAUGGGACUUGGUUGAUAGGCCAGACCAGAAGAAAGUCAUAGGUGUCAAGUGGGUUUUUAGAGCCAAAUUCAACUCUGAUGGCUCUUUAAACAAACAUAAGGCAAGGUUGGUGGUGAAGGGCUAUAGUCAGCAAUAUGGUACUGACUUCAUGGAGACAUUUGCUCCAGUAGCAAGGCUUGACACAAUCAAGUUUUUGUUGCUUUUGUUGCACAGAAACAAUGGAAGGUUCAUCAACUUGAUGUCAAAUUAGCUUUCUUGAAUGGUUUUCUCAAGGAAGAAAUUUACAUAGAGCAACUAGAAGGCUUUAAAGUCCAAGGACAAGAAGACAAGGUUUAUAGACUAAAGAAAGCCUUGUAUGGCCUGAAACAGGCACCAAGGGCCUGGUAUGCAGGAUAAACAUUUACUUGUCUAGGCUUGGAUUUGAAAAGAGUGUCAGUGAAGCCACACUCUAUGUGAAGAGAUCAGAAGGUGAAACCUUAUUGAUUGUGUCACUCUAUGUAGAUGAUCUACUUGUGACUAGAAGCAAAGAUGAAUUGAUCAAUGAAUUUAAAGAGCAAAUGGUGGAAGUAUUUGAGAUGACAGAUCUAGGAAUCAUGACAUACUUCCUUGGUAUGGAAGUGAACCAGUCUGAUCAAGGCAAUUUUAUCAGUCAACAUGCUUUUGCAUUAAAGAUCCUUAACAGAUUUUGCAUGUGAAACUGCAAAUCAGUGAGCACACCAGUAGCACAAGGGGAGAAGUUGUCUAGUGAUGGGAAUGAAGCAAUAGUUGAUGAAAAGGAAUAUCGAAGCCUAGUAGGUUGCCUGCUUUACUUAACAACAACUAGGGCUGAUAUUAUGUUUGGUGUUAGUCUCCUCUCAAGAUUUAUGCACUGCUGCAAUGUGAUUCACCUUAAGGCAGCUAAAAGAAUCCUCAGAUACAUCAAAGGGACUCUGAACCAUUGAGUCAUGUUUAAGAAAGAAAAUGAGCUCAAGCUAACAGGAUAUUCUGAUAGUGACUGGGCUGGUUUUGUUGAUGACAUGAAGAACACCUCUGGCUACUUCUUUACUCUUGGUUCAGGAGUUUUUUGUUGGAGUUCUAAGAAGCAACAAACUAUUGCUCAAUCCACAGCUGAAGCAGAAUACAUUGCAGCUGCAGCAGUAGUGAAUCAAGCCAUUUGGCUUAGAAAGUUGCUAUGUGAUCUAAAUGAAGAGAAACUUGAACCUAUUGAAAUCAAAAUUGACAACCAAUCAGCAGUGGCUAUUGCUAAGAAUCCAGUUUUUCUUCAUGGAAGAACCAAGCAUUUUAAGAUCAAGUUUCACUUUGUUCGAGAGGCUGAGCAAUCAGAAGAAAUCAGUCUUAUUCAUUGCGGCUCACAAGAUCAAUUGGACACUUGGUGCAACAAAGUUCAAGGACUUAAGAAACAGGAUUGGUGUAUGUUGCAUAUAGUCUAAUGAGGAGUUUUGAGCAUUGGCCUGCAAUGUAACAUGUGACCAGCAGCUCACUAAGCAGACCAAAAAUGAAGCAGAACCGAGUGCAGCAGCUUCUUCAGUUCAUUUUGUUUUAUUUUGUUCAAAUGUAACUUGUUUGGUUAGCUUGAAAUUUGUAUUCAAAGUCAGUAGGAUUAGUUUUUUAUUUGUACUUGAUGUAAUGGCUGAUGUAUGAGCUUGCUUAAGUUUGAAAUAUAGCUUGUAUUAGUUGUGUAUUAGUGGGAGCAGUUACAUUGUUAGAUAACUGUCCAAUUUCAUGUAACCUUCACAUAUAUUUUGAUUUCAUUCAAUGAAAAUUGUUAUCCGGUUACAUUAUUCAAGUUUUCAAACUUUCUUCUUUCAUUUUUCGGUUCUUUUGCUUUUGUUCUUGUUUGAAUGUUAAGUUGGAAACAAUGUGGUAAAAGAUGAAACUGCGGGAGAAUCGACAUUUUUUAUAACUGACGAUCUGAGAAUAAUGCAAGGUUUACCAGGUACCUGCAACAUAUGGAAACAAGGAAACCUCUAAACCAUCGAUAAAAUAUUGUUAAGUUCAAAAAUGUGGAAUCUUUGUUAUUGAUAAAAUAUCAGUAUAUUUUUGAAUCUUAAAAGCAUGAAUGCAAGCCAUUUUGAAAUAUGAUCUAAUUGUUGUCAGGGUCUAUUUUUGCCCUAGUUGCAUAAGAUCAAGUUAAAGCCAUUUCAUUUUGUAAGUUCCGGUUUAUAUAAGGCAAAAACAAAGAGAGACGAGGAGUUGAAAAAUGUUUGAAUUGUUAAACAAACAAUACUUAGAAACUAAUGUUUAGACAAGUUAUUUUUGACGUCACUGUAAUGGCUUACGCUUUCGUUUCUUGACAAUAUAGUUCUUUAAAGCUCAUAAAGGUGAGGAUGAACACAAACAGGCCUUCAAUAAAGCAAGUGCCUGCACCAAAACACACGGCAUUAUAGAUUUUGAAUCCACAAAGAUAAUCAAAACUCAAGAAAAGAUAAUUCACUUCAAACUGCCCAAUGCUAAUAACUAACUGUUCAACGUCAACAAGUGGGAUGUUUAAUUCCUUCAGUACAGAAAUAAUAGAAACAGAUGAUACUGAUUUAACUACUAGAUCAUCUGUUACUAGAAACGAUGAGUUCUUCAGGACAUAGCCCGAGCUGUAUCUGGAGUUUGGGUUUGGGGACUUCGGGUCCAGAAAUGAGGAAAACCUUACCUCAGAACAGAUACUUGGAAACUCCUUUGGGCAACUAUAAAAUGGUUGAAGAACAGCUUUCUUGGAAUACUUUGGCUCGGUAAUGGAGAGCAUAAUGUUUAAAUCUUGAAGCAAAUAAGAGAUAGAUCCAAUUGUGAGAUUACUACCUAGUAAGAGUUCCAAUACAGAAUCAAAAGGUAUGGUGAGGAAGCUAAAUAAGAGGCCCACAAAAUCUUCAUUUGUUUCAGCGAAUGAUAUUUUCCAAUCAGACUUCCUCAGUAUUAUCUUCACACUUGUUUUGACAUCAUUUUCAACCGUCUCCUCCAUAUUUGGAGCUACGAGCAAACUUUUCACCGCUGAGAAUUCGUUGUUUUCUCAGAAAAGCAUCAGUCAAAGUAGUCCUUGAGACCAGUGAAUAGCUCAAAAGAUUAGACAUCUGAAAAUAGUUAUGCAAUGAGAGACAUAAUAAUCAAACUAAAACAUUAUUGAAAGGAUGAAUGCUGUAAAGAGUUAUGGAUAAUACUACCUCAUAUGAAUCAAUUUCCAGAACUUCUUCUUUGAUCUGAUGAAAAAUAUUCUUGAUUCCCAGCUAUGAAGGAAUUGAAUGAGAUUACCUGGCAAACCUUUCAUCACUACUAAACCAUCAGUGAUGAAAAACAUGGACUCUCCCUUAGUUUCAUCUUUUACUACAUCCAUUUCCCUUCCAGAACCAUCCCUGCUCAUCAACUUCCCGCAACUGCAUUUUGUAGUUUUAUAGUUACUCAAUAAACCAACUAGUCUUUCACUACACUUCACAUUUUCGCACAUAUAAGUCUUUGUAGGCUCAGAAACAUCCAUGUUAAGCUUCAUUUUCUUCAACUUGUUUUCAUGAAUGGUUCUUGGAUAAAGCAGCAUAAACUUACAUGCAUGGGCACGAAAGAUGUUACUGUUUAGAUUUUCGACGCUGUUGAAUAAGUUAAUCAAGCAACCAGGCUCUGGAAUUUGAUGUUUGCCGAAAAGUCAAGCGAUGCUUCCGAGGGGAAACAUAAGGAUACUACGAAGGGUAUCGACAGAAUCAUUACCAGCUUCAGCUAGAAUUACCUUGUUUCUUUCCUGGUCAAUUAAAAGCUUGAUUGAAAUCCUGGUUGAUUUAGAAGCCAUUGAUGCAAAACAAUAGCGAACUCAGACGGAUGAAAUUUGGAGCACAGCUGAAAUGAAACUAAAAUCAGUCUAUUUAUUGUGCGUGUCCAUAAGACGGUGUUGAGUUAUAUCAGCAUUCAAAGAUUAAAAACAAAGAAAAUUUGUGUUUGAAAGAUGAAAAACAGAAGCAAAAACACAAGUUGGUUGAGAGAAAAAUUGACAACUCUCAUUACUACAAUAAGCAACAUUACAACAUACAUAAGCAGCUUCAUUACAUUGGAAGAAAACAAAAUAUUGCUUCUGCUAGUAUCCAAGCUGUAAAAUCAGCUUAAUGAUAACUUAAGAAUCAGCUAAGUGCGUGACAAACCUUAGCAAAACAAAAAUUACAAUCAAAUUAAACAUAAGUCACAUGUUACAAAAAAUUUUAACAAUCAAAUUACACAUUGGACAUUUGCCUGCUGCUGCAUUGUUGCCAACUUUCAACAGACGGCGAUUAAAGCUUCAAGAAAACCUUUGAUGUUCCCCAUACAUAUUUUAAAUGAUAAUUUAUAAACUAACUUAGGUCAAUGAACUGAACACUUAAUGAAGUACGUGCAUCAUUAUGGACUAAUUACCUAAAUAAUUUCUAGGGAGAGUAACUAGAGUUACGGUAAGUAAAACUCUAUUUGAUUUUAAAAAAUUGAAAAAAAAAUUCAAAUUUCGAAUAACUUAAUUUGAGACCUAAUUAUUCUAAAAUAAUAUAUUUAUAUUUUAAAAAAUUAUAAAAAAUUAAAAUUAUUCUAAAAUAAUAAUUUUUGAGACCUAAUUAAUAUUCAAAUUUAUUAUACUCAACUGAACAUUUUUUCAAAUAUAUAUCGUUUUAAAUUUAUGUGUUCUGAAAUGAAAUUAGUUAUACUGUAAUAAUAUUUUUAUUUGACAUGUUUAAUUUUUUUUAAUUUAACUCGAACAAUUUCACUUGAUUCGACUCAACUCGACACAAAUUUCAUUUUAUUCGACUCGAUUAAAAAAAUGAAAUUGAGUUAAAAAGACAAAAUAGGAUUCGUGAACUUGAAUUUUUUUAACUUAAUUCGACUCGAUUUGAUCGAACGUUUACCCCUAACUAGAGCUAUGAAAACGUACAUAACCCAGAUCAUGGCUAGCUGAGUGUUAUUGGCAAGUUCAAACCUAUCUAUUGCAUCAAUUAAGGGAUUAAGACGAGAUAUUCAUAUUUGCAAGCGAUUCAAAUUCGAAAUGAAAAAAAAAGUUUGAAUUUGAUUCAUCAUUCUGAAGCUGAGUUCAAGCUCAAGUAAGUAGAGUUCAAGCUCAUGUAAAAUUUUACUUUUCGCCCAUUAAAUUUGACAUAAUUUUAAUUUAAUAAAUAGUAAAAUUAUAUUUUGACCUCUAAAAAUAAUAAAAUUUUGAUUUAAUCCUUUAAAAUUUAUAAAGAUAUGAGCUAUUAGAAUUUUGAAAUUGCAUUUUAAAUCUCAUAAAAGUGUACAACUUAAUUCAACCCAUGAGAAUUUUUUUUUUUUUGCUUCAUCCCUGUCUCCAUGUUUGUUUUACUAUUUGUGUUCAAAGCCUUUGUAACAAUGUAAUCUCUAAGGACGGAACAUGUAACAUGUCUUGCUGUUGCAUCCAACACUUGUUGGUGAGUUCAAGCAUUUUAGCAUUUAAUUCGAGUAGAUCGCGAGUAUAAUUUUUUUGAUCAAAUUACUAUUUUAUCCUAAAGAAUUGUAUAUAGAAUAAGUUUGGGCUCGAGUUUAAGUAUAUAAAUUUCCAAAUUUCAGUCACUUUAUAUUAAUAAUCUGUAAUGCAAUAUUGUUUUUCAAGCGGUUGGUUUAUUGAGGGCUUGUUUGUGCUCAUCUUCAGCUUUGUCAGAGUCAAUGGAGCUCUAUGUGUGGCAACCAAAGCAAGAGCAAUUAUAGCAAAAGCUACAUUAUAUUAUCGUUGCAGUAUCAAGGAUAUGGGGUUGUAGUUGCCUAAUUUUCAAGAUGUUCCAAUUUACUUUCAUGUAAUAGUAUUUUGUCGUCUCAGUUCAAAACUAAAAUAUUACUUUUAAGCAAUGUUUCAUUUUCAUCUCCAACAUUUAGCAACUCAUUGUCUUUCUAUCUAGGUUCUUGCUUUAUUGUCUUAGUACCAAAGAGCUUGAAUGAAUUGGCAUAAGUUAGGAAUUUUGGUUAUGCUCUGAAAAUUGAAAAGACCAGGAUAUAUACAGUUCUUUUAUGUGCUUGGAACCCAUGUUAUUCAAGAAUGAAACCAUAAUCACAAUAUAAUAUUCUUUUUAUGUGUGUUGUACUGGUUGCUAUGUUAUAAAUUGUAGAUGGCUCUUCUCUAUGUUUACACCAGAUGGAGUUCAUGGUUCGGCAUUAACUCUCUUACCAUGGAAUACAAAGUGGUCUACAUUUAACCUAUCCGAUGCUAAUAACUUGCACUUCAACCUUAUCAACCAGGACCUCUAAUUCCUGUUACAAGAUAAAGACAGGAUACUGAUUUAACUAUCAAAUCAUCUGUUACUGCAAAGAGUGAGACAUAGCCCCUUCUUUUUGUUGUGGUUGGCUCUGCCGAUUUGGGGUCCAAUAGUUUUAAGGGCAUGUUUGUUGAGGUUUUUUGCAUACAGGAAGAAAAAUAGAACCAAGUAAUCCGGAUGAAAUAUGAAGCUGUGUUUGAAAAUAGAGCAACAAGGUAAUAAACCGGGAUAAAGUAUGAAAGAAGCUUGAGCUUCAAAGACUUGAGACUUACAAGAAGAACAACCAAAAACAGAAGCAAAAACAAAUUGUUGAGGAAGAAAAUGAAUUUUUCUUACCUUUCAUUUCAUCCAGCAAAAGUAUAUAUGUUAUAAUAAAAUUGACAGUUGCCAAAUGUAUAACUGCUCCCAUAAAUGCUUGACUAAAGCAUAACUAAAAUUACAAACAAAAUGUAGCCGACAUACUAGCUAUCAUAUUCAAAUCUUGACCAAGUCCUACUAACUUGAAGUACAAAUUACAAAGAAACUAAAUUAAGUUACAAAUGAACAAAAUAAACAAAAUGUUGUUGCUCCACUGGUUCAUCUUCAAUGCUGGUCUAAUGUUGCAUUGUAGGCCAAAGCUUAACAAUGUUAUAAGAGACAUCAACACUCUCACGACUUAGAUUAUUUUUAUUACCUUCUUUUUAGCAAUAUUUUGUUAUUAUGUUACAUAUUUAUUGUUCCUAGUUUGUUGCCUUAUUUUGAAUAAGUAGGAAUUUCCUGUGUUGCUUAUUAUUUUAUUAUGGUUCUUAUAGAUUAGUUUUUAUAUGCUCACUGACUGUUGAUAUUGAAGAAAGGGUGGCUUAUAUUAUUUUAUCACCAUCUCUUUACAGGCAACCAUUGGAUAGCUUCCAAACAACUUUUCCAAUUAAGAGAUUGAGAGAUGCCAAACUAUGGUUCCAGUGAGCACUGCAGAUUAAAAUAAAACAUUGUGGAUAUGGCUUCAUUCUUAAAUAACAUGUUUCCGAGCACAGAAAAGAAUGGUAUAUUGCUGGUGCUUAUAAUUUUCAAAGUGAAACCAUGGUCUCUAACUUAAGCCAUUUCAUUCAUAAUCUUUGGUACUAAGACAAUAAACGAAAAACCAAGAUUGAAAAACAAUGAGUUGCAAUAUUCUGGAGAUUAAAAUGAAACAUUCUUAAAAGUUAUAUCUGUAGUUCCAAUAGGGACGGAAGCGUGUAAAUUAUUGUACUAAAAAAUCACACAAAGUUCAAUUCCCAGGGAAGAGAGGUGGAUCACAAGGAUCUCUUAAAUACCAAGUCUUUCCUUAGUCAGAAUAUCCCUUCUAUAGUAAUUUAAUAGCACAAUUAAAUACUACUAUUAUACCCUCAAAUAUUGAAAGAAAAAUAGGACAAGAAAGAACACAAGAGUUUUAACGAGGUUCGAUAAAUUAUACCUACGUCCUCGGGCACUAACACCAGAUGAUAACUUUACUAUCUCCAAAAUAUUACAAACAAAUAGAAUUCUUUAAGAAUUCUCAAAUGGGAGAAGAGAGAAAACUAAGAGAGAAAGAUUGGUUGGGAUGGUUGAAAUGAAAAAUGAUUAGGCCUAUUUAUAGUUAAGGUUCAAGGACCAACUUGCAAAUGGCCUAAAAAAUUAGGGACUAAAAUUGCAAUUAUCCCAUUCAACUUUAAACAACUUGCCUAUCACUUUUUCUUUCGGUGCCAAUUGCACCUCCCAUUUUUGACUUUUCAACACCCCAUUAAUUGACUUUUCAACAAUCUCCACAUUGAAGAUUUGAUUAGGAUAAUCACAUCUUCACACACUUCCUUCAACUCCCCAUAUUCGAUAAAGCUAUCUUUUGUAGUGCCUCCAAAUGCGUUCUCGAGCGCCAUACACCUAAAGGUGCUCAAAUUCUCAGGAUGUUAAUCAAGUUCAAACAAUGAUUAAACUUGAUUGUUGUUACUACCUUGAUCAUCAUAUCUGCGGGAUUAUCUACUGUCGGAAUCUUCUGAAGUAGAAUUUUUUAUUUUUCAAAGACUUCCCGCACAAAGUGAUAUCUUACGUCGAUAUGCUUGGUUCUUAAAUGAUAGACUUGAUUUUUCGCUAAAUGAAUAACGCUCUGACUGUCACAAUAUAGACUAAUGUGACUUUGAACAACUCCCAAGUCUUUCAACAAUCCAUUAAGCCAAAUAGCCUCCUUAACAGCUUCUGUAACUGCCAUAUAUUCUGCCUCUGUAGUAGACAUAGCUACUGUAGACUGUAAGGUAGAUUUCCAACUCACUGGGGCUUUAGCAAGAGUAAACAGAUACCCCGUAGUUGAACGACGUUUAUCUAAAUCACCAGCAAAGUCAGAAUCAACAUAUCCAACUAUAAACUGACCAAGUGCUUCAUCCUGUUCAAAAAUUAAACCAACAUCUACAGUUUUUCGAAGAUACCGUAGAAUCCAUUUCACAGCUUGCCAAUGUCCUUUUCCAAGAUCAUGCAUAUACCUGCUCACAACUCCAACAGCUUGUGAAAUGUCAGGCCGCAUACACACCAUCGCAUACAUCAAACUCCCAACUGCAUUAGCAUAUGGGACUUUUUCCAUAUAUUCUCUUUUUUCUUCAGUUUUCGGAGAUAAUUGAGCACUAAGUUUCAAAUAAGAAGCAAGUGGGGUACUUACAUGUUUUGUGUUUUCAUUUACACCAAAAUAUUGUAAUACCUUUUUCAGAUAUUGCUUCUGAUUCAAACAAAGCUUGCCUCUCUGUCUAUCUCUACUUAUCUCCAUGCCGAGAAUCUUCUUGGCCUCACCUAGAUCUUUCAUCUCGAACUCUUGAUUCAACUGAGCCUUCAGCUUAUCUAUCUCUUUUUGGCUCUUCGAAGCGAUUAACAUAUCAUCAACAUACAAUAGUAGAUAAAUGAAAGAUCCGUCAUGUAGCUUUUGCAAAUACACACAAUUGUCAUAUUUACUUCUUGUGUACUUCUGUCUUCUCAUAAAGCUAUCAAAUCGCUUGUACCACUGCCUCGGGGAAUGCUUCAAUCCAUAUAGCAAUUUGUUCAGCUUACAAACCCAAUUUCUACCACCAGCAUCUGUGUAUCCUUCGAGCUGAGUCAUAUAGAUCUCCUCUUCUAACUCACCAUGCAAGAAAGCCGUCUUAACAUCAAGUUGAGCUAGCUCCAAAUUCAACUAUGCUACCAAUGCCAACAAAAUUCUGAUAGAGGAAUGCUUCACAACAGGGGAAAAUACAUCAUUGUAGUCAAUUCCCUCCUUCUAAGCGUAGCCUUUAGCUACCAAUCUUGCCUUGUAGCGAAUAUCUUUCUUGCUAGGAGAUCCAUAUUUCUUUGCGAAUACCCACUUGCAUCCGAUUGCCCUUUUACCUUUCGGUAAUUGCGCCAACUCCCAAGUAUUGUUCUUCCGGAGAGACUGCAUUUAUUUAUCCAUGGCGCUUUUCCAUUUAUCACUUUCUAAGCUUUGCAUUGCUUCUUGAUAAGUGAUAGGAAUAUCAUCAUUAACAACAGGAAGGGCGUAGGCCACCAUAUCAGUAAAUCGAGUAGGUCUACGAAUUUCUCUCCGUAGCCUUGCAACUGCAACUGGUUCUGGUGUACUUAACGGUUCUUGGGUCAGAACCUCUUCAACCUCUAAUUCAUCCAUUGUGGCUGGAGAAUUAGACUUAUUAACUGGGCAAAUCCCCAUCUGCUCAAACUCCACCUGUUUUGGAGUACACUCCACCUGCUGUGGAGUUUCACUCGUCUGAAUAUAUUUAUCUGCUACCUUUUUCAAUGUGGCAGAUUCAUCAAAGGUAACAUCUCUGCUACAGAUCAUUUUCUUUGUGUCUAAGCACCAAAGACGAAAUCCCUUCACUCCAGAAGUGAUUCCUAUAAAGAGAGCUUUCUUUGCCCUCGGAUUUAACUUUGAUUCCUUCACAUGGUAAUAUGCAGUGGAUCCAAACACAUGUAAGGAAUCAUAAUCUGUAGCUGGUUUUCCAGACCAUACCUCCAUAGGAGUUUUUCUUUCUAAUGCAAAUGAUGGCAAACGAUUAACAAGAUGGCCAGCGUAUGUCACAGCCUCAGCCCAAAAUUGCUUGCCCAACACAGCAUUGGACAACAUACAUCGAACUUUCUCCAACAAUGUUCGAUUCAUACGCUCUGCCACUCCAUUCUGCUGUGGUGUAUCCCUAACUGUGAAGUGUCGAACAAUACCAUACUCUUGGCACACAUCGAAGAACGAAUCACUUCUAUAUUCCCCUCCAUUGUCCGUCCUAAGCCUCUUGAUUUUCUUGCCAGUCUGGUUUUCGAUCAUAGUUUUCCAUUUAAGAAAAACUCCAAGCACUUCAUCCUUAGUUUUCAUGGUAUACACCCAAACUCUUCUGGAAAAGUCAUCAACAAAAGUAACAAAGUAGUGUUUUCCUCCCAACGAAGGUGUUUUGGAAGGCCCCCACACAUCUGAGUGAACAUAUUCCAAAAUACCUUUUGUAUUAUGGAUAGCAGUGCCGAAUUUCGCUCUCUUUUGCUUUCCCAGAACACAAUGCUCGUAAAAUUUUAAUUUGCAAGCCUUUGCACCUUUCAACAAUCCUUGCUUUGCCAGAAUUUGCAAGGAUUUUUCGUUGGCAUGUCCCAACUUCAUAUGCCACAACUGUAUUGAGUCCAAUUCUUUGUUACCGGAAGCUGCAGUGACUGCUCCAAUAACUGUACUACCUUGGUAAUAAUACAAGUUAUUUUUCCUAAUGCCCUUCAAUAUCACAAGUGCGCCAGAUGUCACUUUCAAAACCCCAUCUCUCAUAGUAACAACUGAACCAUUGGAUUCCAAGGCUCCCAAUGAGAUGAGAUUUUUCUUCAAACUGGGCACGUACCGAACAUCAGUUAGAACUCUAGUUGAUCCAUCUUGAUUCUUUAAUUAGAUUGAACCUAUCCCAACAGUUUUACAGGCAUUGUCAUUGCCCAUAUAAACAAAUCCUCCAUUUAGCUCAACUAAAUUAGAGAACCACUCCCGGUUAGGGGACAUAUGAUAGGUACAACCUGAAUCCAAUAUCCACUCAUCUGAAUGGAACGACGAUGAUGAUGCAAUCAGUGAUAGUUCAGAGUCACUGGUAUCAUACUUUACAACACAAGCAUCUACAGCAGCUUUUCCCUUAUUCUUCAGCUUUGGACAAUUUUUCUUCCAGUGGCAUUUCUCAUGACAAAAGGCACAUUCAUUUUUCCCAAGUCUGGACUUUGACUUUGAUCUCCCUUUCUGAGUUUUCUUCCGAGUGUAUGAACGACCUCGGACUAUUAAAGCUUCUGUAUCUCUGAUUGAGUUUUUCUGUUUGUCUUUCUUUCUCUGUUCAUAACUGUAUAAGGCCGCACAGACUUCGCUCAGAGAUAUGUCACUCCUGCCAUGAAGUAGAGUAGUUUCUAGGAACUCAAACUCCUCAGAAAGUGACCCCAACAGCCUCAAAGCCAAAUCUUCAUCUUUGAAUGUCUCAUCCGUAUUUAGCAAAUCAGUGACUAACUGAUUAAAUUUAGUGAUGUGGUCAUUCAUUGUGGUACCUGGGACGUAAGUGAAGAGAAACAGUCUUUUAUUCAAGUGGAGCUUAUUUUGACUGUUUUUCUUCAAAAAAUUUUCUUCAAGUGCCACCCACAACUUAUUUGCAGAAGUCUCCUUUGAAAAAAGCAUACCUCUGCUCUCGAGAAAGGCAUGAUCAAAUUGUGCCACAUGCCAACCGAUUGAUCGCCUUCCAAUCUUUCUCUUGUACAUCAUCUGGUUUCUCUUCAUCAAUGGCAAUGUCUAGACCCUGCUGAAAAAGGGCAUCUAGAACAUCACUUUGCCACAUACCAAAAUGGCCCGUGCUAUCAAAGAUCUCCACGUCCAAUCUUGCAUUUGCAAUUGUCGGUCUUGUCCACAUGGACGAUGUUGAAGCUCCUAAACCGUCCAUCUUCUCCAUAAUCUUUCAAUAUACCUAAGGAAAUCUUUUCUGAUGUGGAAGAUCAGUUUAAACUGCAACCACAGAGCAUACUACGAUUAACCUUCAGCUCUGAUACCACUUGUAGUUCCAAUAGAAACGGAAGCGUGUAAAUUAUUGUACUAAAAAAUCACACAAAGUUCAAUUCCCAGGGAAGAGAGGUGGAUCACAAGGAUCUCUUAAAUACCAAGUCUUUCCUUAGUCAGAAUAUCCCUUCUAUAGUAAUUUAAUAGCAUAAUUAAAUACUACUAUUAUACCCUCAAAUAUUGAAAGAAAUGUAGAACAAGAAAGAACACAAGAGUUUUAACGAGGUUCGAUAAAUUAUACCUACGUCCUCGGGCACUAACACCAGAUGAUAACUUUACUAUCUCUAAAAUAUUACAAACAAAUAGAAUUCUUUAAGAAUUCUCAAAUGGGAGAUGAGAGAAAACUAAGAGAGAAAGAUUGGUUGGGAUGGUUGAAAUGAAAAAUGAUUAGGCCUAUUUAUAGUUGAGGUUCAGGGACCAACUUACAAAUGGCCUAAAAAAUUAGGGACCAAAAUUGCAAUUAUCCCAUUCAACUUUAAACAACUUGCCUAUCGCUUUUUCUUUCGGUGCCAAUUGCACCUCCCAUUUUUGACUUUUCAACACCCCCUUAAUUGACUUUUCAACAAUAUCGAAUCUUGAUACUGCAACAAAAUAUAAUAUAGCUUUUUCUAUAGUCGCUCUUGCUUUGGUUGCUAGACUAACUACCCUGUUUCUUUCCUGGUCUAUCAAAAGUUAAAGCUAGAGCCUGUCAAAAAAUUCUUAACACAUUCCAUCUAGGUGUUUAGAACCAGAAAGGCAAUUAGGAUGAAUUAAGCUAGAGCCUGUAAAUAAACUCUUAUCACAUAGCACAUAAUACUCUGUCAAUAAAUAUAUGUUUACAAGUUUACGGAGUUAUACUAUAAUAAAGUUCACAUUCAACACGCAUAAGUUGAAACUAGCAUGAAUAAAAGAAAAUAGCCACGCUUUGCCUGAUUUAAGCCCUUCAAGUUCAUUGAUACAGCGGCGCCUUAGGUACCUGCAAUAUAUGGAAACAAGGAAACCUCUAAACCAUCGAAGUUACUUCCAUUGAGUGUAACCAAAAUACAUGUUACUUGUUCAAAUUAUUUGAAUAAAUCAUUUAUAUGAAAAGUAGUGGAAUUUAAUUUGCUUCUAAGUCAAGUAAUGAUUUGAUUAUUUUGUUAACAUAUUAUUGUAUAUCUGCUGAUUGAGCAAUAUAUAAAGCUUGGCGCUCACGAUAUACGCGAGUUGGAUGAAGAAGUUUGACUCUAAUAGAACAAAGCUUGGAAACAACAUCACUCAUGUCCAUCCUCUCGGUAGGUGAUUCAGCAGAACAAGUGAGUCCAAUUUCAAAUAUUGAAUUCAAGUGUUGAAGAUGCUUGUCAUUGAGAGUGAAUUCUGUAAAUGUACCUUGUCUAGCUCUCUCUUGAAGAAGAAUGGGAUUUGUAAUCUCAAUUACUUGUUCUGGCAAAGCUGCCUCAACAAAGUUGUGAAUGCUAAGACAUUCUUUGAACAUAUUAUCAGUCGGCCUUUUCCCGGUGAAAAUCUCGAGCAAGAGAAUGCCAUAGCUGUACACAUCACCUUUUGUCGACAACUCACUUCCCAUGGCAUAUUCUACAAUUAACUUAUUACAAAUUACAUAUAGAAAUAAUUGCAAAAGAAAAUCCUUGGAAAAUAUAAAGAUAGCCUGUUACAUCCAAGCUCUAGAUAUAUGAAAAACUACUUCUAGAUUGUGUGUUUUGCUUUUAUAUUAUAGAAGAAGGGGAAAAAAAAACUUAAUUUACCCGGUGGAGCAUAACCAAUAGUCCCUCUUAAUCCAAUGGAGCUUGACUGAUUAGUAGAAUAGUUAAGCCUAUCUGAAGAAAGGAUUUUUGCUAAGCCGAAGUCACUUAUAUGGCCAACCAUUUCUUGAUCAAGCAGUAUAUUGCUUGGCUUGAGGUCACAAUGAAUGAUUGUCGUCUCACAAUGAUGGUGUAGAUACUCGAGUGCAUAAGCAACGUCUAUGGCCACAUUAACUCUUUGAAAAAAGCUCAGGUUUCUCAUAAUGCCCGACUCAUUCCUGUUGAUAGAUUGAUGUAGCCACUCCUCCAAGCUUCCAUAUUCCAUGAACUCGUAAACCAAUGCUUUAAAAUCAUUGCCUCGAUAAUCAACACCUGAAAUGGCUGUUAAUACCUUGACAAGAUUUCGAUGUCGAAUGUUCCUCAAGGCCUCGCAUUCAGCCAAGAAACUCCUAGAAGCUCCACGAUUUAGAAGAUUAAGCACCUUUACUGCAAUAAUUGCUCCACUCUCUUCGAGAAUUCCUUUGUAUACAGAACCGAAGCUUCCUGAACCAAGCAAAUUUUGUAUGGAGAAUCCAUCUGUGGCCCUUAGGAUGCUUUGGUAUGACAACUGUAAAAUGGAAUUUUCUGCACAAGUUGUUGUUGGCUGCUCUUUCUUCUUUCUAAACCACAAGAUGAGGAGACAAGAGAAGACCAAAGUCACCCCUAAAAUCACGACGAUAAUUGCAAUUUUUAAUUUAAGGGAAGUGUCUGAUGAUGUUUUUGAGUUACAUCUUGACAAGUGUAACUCAGGAAUGCCUCCACAAAGGUUAUUGUUUCCCUCAACGAAUGUAGUACUUUUAUUCUUAAAGACUCCUUCGCUUGGUAUGACUCCGUCAAAAUCAUUGAAAGAGAGAUUUAAAUACUUUAAUGCCCCAAAGCUCACAAGGAAUUCUGGAACCUCACCAGAAAGAUUAUUGUCAGAAACAUCCAAUGCCACAAGACCUCUCAAUGAACUUAAAGAUGAAGGAAUGGGCCCUUCAAACAAAUUGCCUUCUAAAAACAGUGCUUCUAGACGUACACAGCUACCAAGGUUGUUUGGAAGCAAACCGGAUAACCUAUUUCGAGAAACACGAAAUGCACCUAGAUUUUUCAGUUUUUCUACUGUAAGAGGAAGGCCACCAGUCAAAUAGUUUGAUUUUAAGUCUAGAAAAAUAGACAAGGAUGGGAGUUCAAAUGCUUGAGGUGGUAUUGGUCCACUAAGAUUGUUAUGAGAAAGACUCAUUGCAAGCAAAUUUUGGCAGUGACCAAUACUUGAAGGAAUGCUGCCCUGAAGAUUGUUAAAAGCUAAAUUAACUUCGGUUAACAUGGUUAAAUUUCCAAUAGAAUAGGGAAUAGUCCCAGAGAGAAAAUUAUUAUCAAAGAAAAAUCUUUGUAGCUUCUGAUGCCUCCCAAUAUCGAAGGGAAUGGGACCUGAUAGUUGAUUUUGUGAUGCAUCUAGAAUUUCCAAUUUGAUGAGGUUUCCAAUCCUAUCCAGGAUUCUUCCCGAUAUUUUGUUCUGAUAUAUUGAUAAAUGUAAGAGGGUGCUAGAAAAAUUGCUAAUGCAUUUGGGUAAUGCCCCUCCAAAAUUAUUUACCCCUACAUAUAGAUUUAAUAGUUUGGUAUUAUUGACUAAAGUGCAAAAAAAGUUCAAGUCACCUUCUCUCCCACGUCCCAAAGCAUUGGCGCCUAGUUGAAGCUCGCUUAGUUUAUCCAACUUUUCCAAUGAAGGCACAUUUCCAGUGAGUCUGUUAUUGUUAAGUUGAAGUAUAUCCAGACUUGAGGCGUUGCAUAGUGCAAUCGGGAUUUGUCCAGAGAUUUGGUUUCCCCAGAUGGAAAAGAAUUCAAGAUUUGGCAUUGUGAUCUCUAAGUCAAAAUGAAGAGUACCUUGAAUUUUGUUUCCACCAAUAUCAAUGGCUAAAAUAUUGGAGAGAUUGAACAUUGCCGUAGGAAAGAUACCUGAUAUUGCAUUCUCUGCUACCAUAAAAAAUGAAAGAUUUGUCAAUCGUCCAAGAGCUUCGGGUAUAAUCCCGGUUAAUCCAUUAGAUUCCAAACGAAGCUCCUCCAGGGAUGACAAGUUCCCAAAGGAAGGUGGGAUACUCCCUCUCAAAUCGUUGUUUCUAAAACCCAGGAAUUUCACGUGUGACAAAUGACCAAGCAAAGCAGGUAUUUCUCCUGUUAGUUGGUUGCCUGACAGAUAAACUACUAUAAGCUUAGAACAAGCUGAUAAAUUGGAAGGAAUUUCACCACUGAUGGAGUUAUUGGUCAGGUCUAAUAUUUGCAGUCUUCUUAAACGACCAAUUUCUUGAGGAAUCUUGUUGUAGAAGCGGUUGCCCACAAGACUCAACUCCUUGAGAAAGCUCAUAUUUCCAACAUACGGUGAUAAAGAUCCUGAGAGUUUCAAGUGUUGCAGUUCCAACUUGGUGACUCUCCGAUGCUUACGACCGCAGGUAACACCACGCCACUGGCAGAAGUGAAUAGAACUAUUCCAAGAUUCCAUAACCUUAAGCCGAUAACCGGUUAUCUUCGCUUUGAACUGGAGUAAAGCUUGUCGAUCAGUGUCGUUUCCUCCAACUACAGGGCUGCUUGUUGCUAAACCAAGCAAGUUGAAGCAUGAGAGAAAAAUUAUAACUUUAACGUAAACAAGAAAAAAAGAGUUGAACACUUCCAUAUGCUUUCUUGAUAGCUCCAUCAACCUGAAUCAAUUUCUUUAAGGAUGAGAAUGAUUUGUAGUUGAGAAUGCUUUGUUCAUCAGUGCAAAAUAAGUUAUUUUUGAACUCUGAUACUACCUUAUUCUAUAUCCCCUAAAUUGGUUCAAUUUACCAUUUUUCAAAGUCAUGUGGCUACAAUUAUGGAGCCCCCCCACUUCUUCAUGGAAAAAUAAUUGGAAAAUGUAAGUAUUGACUUUCCAAAGUCAUCUGAUAGAUAAGUUAAUGGUAACCAGAUUUACAGACUACCAUUGGAUAGUUUCCAAACGACUUUUCCAAUUAAGAGAUUGGGAGAUGCCAAACUGAAUCCUCGUAUGCAGGCCCCGUUUGGGAUCGUUUGAGAGUGCAACUGUCCAUCGUCUAAAGCUAAAAGGGAUCUUAAAAGAUAUUUUUUUAAUUUUUAAUAUGAAAAAAAGUUUCAGACUAAAAUAAAUUAAUUAAAUAUUAGAGUUUUUAAUUUUCCACCAUAAAUGUUUUAUCUUUUAGUGUCCAAAAAAUUGACUUUUAUUAUAUUACAUUUUAUAAUUUUUUUAAAAAGUCAAAUUUAUUAUUUCACGUAGGACUCAAAAAUAUCAAAUAUCAAAUAUCAAGAACAAAUGAACAUUGCAUACUGAUUUAACUAAGAAAUGAGAGAGUUUAUUGUCAUGCUCCUUUUUUUUUUAACCAUAUUUAAAAAUUUGGAUAUAUGAUCAUAUUAGAUUUAUGAUCAUAAAAAAAAGAAAAGAUAAUUUAGUAAAAUUAAAUACAUUUAUGUCGGUUGGAUACUCGUAUUCGACACACCACUUAAAUUGAGUAAUAUUAACUUAUUUUUCUUUUCAUGUUUUUUACUUAAAAUUAUGCAUAGUUAGUAUCGAAUAAAUUAAAACAAAUUCUAAUUAUUCAUUUAAUUUUUAAAAAAAAUUCAAUCGUUAAUAUAGAUAAUAUUUUAGUUCUAUAUGAUAAAGAUAUCGAAUCAAUUAAAAAAUUUACAUAUCAAUUGAGUCUAUUGAAGUUGGCUUCCAUGCAGGACAAUGAGUAGCACAAGGAGCAGACCAUGCAGUCUGAGCCAUGCAUGUUGCAGCUAGAGCCUGUGCUGCUGUUUUUGUUACUUCAAGGAAAUAUUUCGUUACUUAGUUAGAUUUGAACUAAGUUGGUAACAUAUUUGAUGUAAUUAGGUGCUGAUGGAUUGAUGAAUUAGCUUUACUGUGUGUUCAAGUUAUGUUUAUCAAUUUAUUAGGUUACUUAGUGGUGUUAGGUAAAUGUUUAGGUGAUAAUUGCUUAUUUUGACCAGCUUAUUGGCUGGUAUAUGUAAUGGCUUUAUGCCUCAAUUCAUUUGUAAUGAAAUUUGUUAGAAAUUCUUCUUCAUUCUCUAGUUUUUUACUCAAGUUCUUAAGCUGAUUUUGAAUGUUUUCCUCAGCAAGACAUCGAGCCUUAUAGCUCAAGUUUCUGUCAAAUUUCUCAUUUUGUUUUCUUAGUUCCAACAAUUGGUAUCAAGAGCUCAUUUCUUAGUGGACUUCUCAAUUUUUUUUAAAUCCUCAAAACCAUGUCUUUAUCCGGUUUCUUUCCAGCUCCACCACUAGUGUUCAAUGGUGAAGGCUACCACAUUUGGGUAGGGAAAAUGAAGACCUACAUGCAGGCAUUUGACUUGUGGGAGGUUGUCAACUCGGAUGUUGAACCACCACAUUUGAGAGCCAACCCCACUGUGGCUCAGAUCAAGUAGCAUUCUGAUGAUAGAGCCAAGAGAUACAAAGCAAUGUCAUGCAUCAAAAACAGUGUGUCAGACUUGAUCUUUACAAGGAUCAUGGCUUGUGAGUCUCCAAAACAGGCCUGGGAUCAGGGGCAAAGUCAGAACAAAUUUUUAGGGGGGCCGAAUAAAAAUUUAAUUUUUUACAGUCUAUAUAUUUAUAAGUUUUAAAUGAUUAAAUCGAAUUUUUAUAAUUUUAGGGGCCAAAGUACAAUUUUACCUUUACUAAUUUAAAAUUUUAAAUAAAAAUUUAAGAGUCUAAAUAUAAAUUUUUCAUUUUAGGGGGGCCAGGGCCACUGCCAGCCCCCCUUGUAUCCGCCUCUGCUUGGGAUAAGCUCAAGGAGGAGUGUUGAAAAUGGCCAACCAUGAUGUUGUUAUAUUUUGGUUAAGUGCAUGCAGCUUGUAAACAUGCUGCAGCACGUAUGCUUGUUGUAAUUGUAAGGUUGUUUAGUUACUUUGUUAAGUUACUUAGUUGAAAAUGAACUAAGUUGGUAUUGUUUUGAUACUUUUUAGGUGCUGAUUGACAUAAUCAGCUUGUGUGCAAGUUAAGUUUUUCUUGCUUCAAAGUAUGAUUAGUGGUAGUAGGUAGUAUUUAGUGAUGUAUUUGACUAUAAAUGUAUUGUUUUUUCUAGUUGAAAAUUGAGCAAAAGUGACCUAAAAAGCCAUAAGCUCCCUUGCUGCACAUUUGUGAGCAAGUAAAAAUGUUUCUUGCAUCUUGCUUCAUUGUUCUGUGUUCUCUAUUUUCUUACUUUGCUGUUGUCAAAACCCCAACAGAGUAUUAGCUCAACUGAGAUAAAUAUUAUUGCCAAUACAAUAGUACAUGAGUUCGAAUACAUGAAGCGUAUUAUAUAAGUUUAGGAGAAUAAAUUUGGACCACUUCCGUUUAAGAAACGAAUAAUUCAAUCCCAUUUUCAUAUUGCUUGAAAGCUAAGUGGAAUUAUUCCAACUCCACUCACAACCAUCAUUCAUUUUCCCUUAGAUAUCUUUUUCCUUUAAUGAAGAAUCCUGGAAGGAAAACAAUGCAAAUUCUCCUAUUUUCUUCUGUGGAGAAGUACCAGGAAAAUGAUUUGAAAGAACAUAUGAAAAUAGAAUAAAAUUAAAAGAAACACAAUAUAUUCUUAAAAAGAUUCGCUGAAAUAUCAGGGAUUAGCUAUCUUUCGUUAAAUAAGAAAAAUAAAUAAAUAGAUCAGUGAAUUUGAGGUUGGUUUGUGCUGUGUUCCAAACUUCAUCCCGUCUGAAGUUUCUCUUGUUUUGUAUUCCAUUCUGUACCUAUGGCUUUUAAAACAUUCACGGCUUCAAUCAAACUGUUGAUAGACCAGGAAAGAAACAAGGUACUUCUUGCUGAAGCUGGGAAUGAUUUUAUUGAUAUUCUCCGCAUCCUUCUUAAGUUGCCGCUUGGAAACAUUGGUCUACUCUUUCGCAAAAAUGAAAGCCUGCUGACCGGUUGCUUGGAUAACCUAAACAACAGCGUCGAGAAUCUCAGCCUCAACAGCUUUCGAAACCAUGUAUGUAAGCUUAUGUUGCUUUAUCCUAUAAGCACUCAUAAAGACAAGCCAGUCUAGUAUUUUACAUGCAAAACGAGGGGAUGUGGUUUGUUGAGUUAUUGUGAAACUUCAAGAUGCUCUUGCGGGAAGUUGAUGAAUAGUGAGAUAUAUUUAGAAGAAAUGGAGAGAGAUGGGGUAAAAUAUGAAAAUGAGGGAGGGUUCAGUAAAGUAGAAUCCAAGUUUUUCAUCACUGACGAUUUAAGAGUGAUGAAAGGAUUACCAGGUGAUCUCAUUCAAUUUCUUAAUAAGUUGGGUAUCAAGGAUGUUAAUAUGAAUGCUGUUAAGGAACUUGAAAUUGGUCCAAAAGAGGUACUGUGUACUUAACUCACUUCCAUUUUCUUCUUUGAAUAUGAUUUAGACUAUGAUUAUGAUAGUAAUUUAUGUGUCCCCUUGCUUGAUUAUAUCAGAUAGUUAAUCUUUUGAGCUAUUCAUUGAUCUCAAAGACUACUCUGACCGAUGUUUUUCUAAGAAAACAAGGAACGAUGUUAGUUGAACGGCCCUUGCUCAUAGGUCCAAGUACCAAGGAGACAACUGCAAAAGAUGGCAAAACAAGAGUGAAGAUACUGAAGAGAAAGUCAGAUAGGAAGAUCUUGUAUGCUGAAGCAAAUGAAGAUUUCGUUGACCUCUUAUUUAGCCUCCUCACAAUCCCUCUAGAAUCGGUGUUACAACUUGUAGGUGAUAGUUACAUCAUAGCUGGAUCCAUUUUUAACUUGUUUAACGAUUUAAACACUAUAUUCUCCAUAGCCAAGCCAAAGACUCUCCAGGAUUAUAGUUGGCCUGAAAGAAUAUUUAGCUUCCUCACACACCCUUUAGGAUCUGUAUAUGAAUUUGUAACGAAGUCAAAGAAUUCCAAAAAAGUUGUUCUUCCCCCAUUUUAUAGUUGCCCAAAUGAGAUUCCAGAUAUCUGUUCUCAGCAGCCUCCUGCAUAUUGUUUAGUGACAAACCCCUUUAGCAUAAACAGGAGAUACUACUUGGAAAGUGCAAUUAACAGAAGAGGAAUGCCCCUAAAACUGUUGGACCCAAAGUCUUCAGAGCCGAACACAACGAACAGUUCGGGCUAUGUCAAGAAAAACUCACUGUUUGUUAUCACAGAUGAUCUAAUAGUUAAACCAUUAUCCUCGGUUUCUAGUAUUUCUUUACUAAACGAAAUAGGUGUCGCAGUCGAUGAUGUUGAAGAGCAAGUUAUUAGCAUAGGAGAGAUUGAAGUAAGUCAUUAUCCUUGCGAGUUUUGAUCAAUCUAAAUUUCCACUUUUCACUCACUUUAUAUUCAUAAUCUGUAAUGCAAUAUUGUUUUGCAGGCGGUUGGUUUA